rnacentral:misc_RNA from 1 species
GAUGAAGAACGCAGUGAAAUGCGAUAAGUAAUGUGAAUUGCAGAAUUCAGUGAAUCAUCGAACCUUUGAACGCACAUUGCGCCCGCCAGUAUUCUGGCGGGCAUGCCUGUCUGAGCGUCAUUUCAACCCUCAUGCCCCUAGGGCGUGGUGUUGGGGAUCGGCCAAAGCCCGCGAGGGACGGCCGGCCCCUAAAUCUAGUGGCGGACCCGUCGUGGCCUCCUCUGCGAAGUAGUGAUAUUCCGCAUCGGAGAGCGACGAGCCCCUGCCGUUAAACCCCCAACUUUCCAAGGUUGACCUCAGAUCAGGUAGGAAUACCCGCUGAACUUAAGCAUAUCAAUAAGCGGAGGA